rnacentral:rRNA from 1 species
GGGUUCACCCAUUGGUCAGGCUUAAUUGUCUGCACCGGUGAGAUGAGUCUCUACCUUCUGAGGAACUUUCAUGUCAUUAAUUUGGUGUGAUGGGAAAUCAGGGCUGUUACUUUGAAAAAAUUAGAGUGUUUAAAGCAGACUAUCGUCUGAAUACAUUAGCAUGGAAUAAUGAAAUAGGACGGACUGAUUCUAUUUCGUUGGUUUCUAGGAUCACCGUA